AGUCUAGAUACAUACUCCAAAAUAACAGAGAUGCAAAGUGGAAUUAUAU
rnacentral:misc_RNA from 1 species